rnacentral:rRNA from 1 species
GACGAACCGUGCGAACGUUGUUCGGAAUCACUGGGCUUAAAGGGCGCGUAGGCGGGCUGUCAAGUCCGGGGUGAAAUCCUCCAGCUCAACUGGAGAACGGCCUCGGAUACUGAUGGUCUCGAGGAGGAUAGGGGCACACGGAACUGUGGGUGGAGCGGUGAAAUGCGUUGAUAUCCACAGGAACUCCGGUGGCGAAAGCGGUGUGCUGGAUCCUUUCUGACGCUGAUGCGCGAAAGCCAGGGGAGCAAACGGG